rnacentral:rRNA from 1 species
GGGUCAGUAGGUUGGUCGUGCCACCGGUACGUACUGGUCUCACUGAUUCCUCCUUCCUGAAGAACCGUAAUGCCAUUAAUUUGGUGUUGCGGGGAAACAGGACUGUUACUUUGAAAAAAUUAGAGUGCUUAAAGCAAGCUAACGCUUGAAUACAUCAGCAUGGAAUAAUGAAAUAGGACGAUCGAUCCUAUUUUGUUGGUUUCUAGGAUUGACGUA